rnacentral:rRNA from 1 species
AUUGAACGCUGGCGGCAGGCCUAACACAUGCAAGUCGAACGGUAACAGGAAGAAGCUUGCUUCUUUGCUGACGAGUGGCGGACGGGUGAGUAAUGUCUGGGAAACUGCCUGAUGGAGGGGGAUAACUACUGGAAACGGUAGCUAAUACCGCAUAACGUCGCAAGACCAAAGAGGGGGACCUUCGGGCCUCUUGCCAUCGGAUGUGCCCAGAUGGGAUUAGCUUGUUGGUGGGGUAACGGCUCACCAAGGCGACGAUCCCUCGCUGGUCUGAGAGGAUGACCAGCCACACUGGAACUGAGACACGGUCCAGACUCCUACGGGAGGCAGCAGUGGGGAAUAUUGCACAAUGGGCGCAAGCCUGAUGCAGCCAUGCCGCGUGUAUGAAGAGGGCCUUCGGGUUGUAAAGUACUUUCAGCGGGGAGGAAGGGAGUAAAGUUAAUACCUUUGCUCAUUGACGUUACCCGCAGAAGAAGCACCGGCUAACUCCGUGCCAGCAGCCGCGGUAA